rnacentral:lncRNA from 1 species
UUAAUGUAGGUUUGGGGGCUUGGGCUCAGGUGGUCAGGUCUCUGUCCUAGGUACUUUUAUCUGCUGAGCCAUCCCACUGACUCCGUCUUAUGAUUUUGAGAUAGAGUCUCUCGGUGUAACCCAGGCAGGCCUUUAACUGGAGAUGCUCUUGCCUCAGCCUCCUCAGUGCUGGGAUUAUGGGUGUACACGUGUAGGGGAUUUAAAAACAAAUUCCAAAUACCAGGCCAUAUCCUUGGCAAAUACUUCAAGGUCUUUCUUUUGGUAGAGCAGGUUAUAGACUACCUGAGGGGAGGGAGGAUUGGCUUCGAGGAGGAGUCUCUGGCCUUUCUGCUUGGGCUAGUUUGCCUAGGGGACUUCUGGGAGCUCAGCGAUCCCUAGGGUAGAAGGUACAAGCAAGACCUAGACAUCUACUGUUCUUUACCUCCCCAACUAGGGAAGAAGCAGUUACCAGAUAUUCAUCUUCUGGCCCAACGAUUGCUGCUGAGAAGGGAGUUCAUUCCCGCCCCGCAGGGGACCAACGUCUUGUUUGCUUUCUUUGCACAACACUUCACCCACCAGUUCUUCAAGACCUCUGGAAAGAUGGGUCCUGGCU